UGCCGCGUGCGGGAAGAAGGCCUUCGGGUUGUAAACCGCUUUUGUCAGGGAAGAAAAGGUUCUGGAUAACACCUGGGACUCAUGACGGUACCUGAAGAAUAAGCACCGGCUAACUACGUGCCAGCAGCCGCGGUAAUACGUAGGGUGCAAGCGUUAAUCGGAAUUACUGGGCGUAAAGCGUGCGCAGGCGGUUAUGCGAGACAGAGGUGAAAUCCCCGGGCUCAACCUGGGAACUGCCUUUGUGACUGCAUAGCUAGAGUACGGUAGAGGGGGAUGGAAUUCCGCGUGUAGCAGUGAAAUGCGUAGAUAUGCGGAGGAACACCGAUGGCGAAGGCAAUCCCCUGGACCUGUACUGACGCUCAUGCACGAAAGCGUGGGGAGCAAACAGGAUUAGAUACCCUGGUAGUCCACGCCCUAAACGAUGUCAACUGGUUGUUGGGAGGGUUUCUUCUCAAUAAGGAAGCUA
rnacentral:rRNA from 1 species